rnacentral:rRNA from 1 species
ACAAUCCUAAAGAUAGGACGUCCCCUUCGGGGGCAGAGUGACAGGUGGUGCAUGGUUGUCGUCAGCUCGUGUCGUGAGAUGUUGGGUUAAGUCCCGCAACGAGCGCAACCCUUGAUCUUAGUUGCCAGCAUUCAGUUGGGCACUCUAAGGUGACUGCCGGUGACAAACCGGAGGAAGGUGGGGAUGACGUCAAAUCAUCAUGCCCCUUAUGACCUGGGCUACACACGUGCUACAAUGGACAGAACAAAGGGCAGCGAAACCGCGAGGUUAAGCCAAUCCCACAAAUCUGUUCUCAGUUCGGAUCGCAGUCUGCAACUCGACUGCGUGAAGCUGGAAUCGCUAGUAAUCGCGGAUCAGCAUGCCGCGGUGAAUACGUUCCCGGGCCUUGUACACACCGCCCGUCACACCACGAGAGUUUGUAACACCCGAAGUCGGUGAGGUAACCUUUUAGGAGCCAGCCGCCGAAGGUGGGACAGAUGAUUGGGGUGAAGUCGUACAAGGGGUACCAAACAAUUUCACUACGCAUGAGCAUGAAAGCUGCUGU